rnacentral:rRNA from 1 species
UUUUCUCAAAAAGCCUUGACAUGUCAGAACGCACAGCGAGAGGGUGCUUGCACCUUUCAAGUGAGUGGCGAACGGGUGAGUAACACGUGGACAACCUGCCUCAAGGCUGGGGAUAACAUUUGGAAACAGAUGCUAAUACCGAAUAAAACUUAGUGUCGCAUGACACAAAGUUAAAAGGCGCUUCGGCGUCACCUAGAGAUGGAUCCGCGGUGCAUUAGUUAGUUGGUGGGGUAAAGGCCUACCAAGACAAUGAUGCAUAGCCGAGUUGAGAGACUGAUCGGCCACAUUGGGACUGAGACACGGCCCAAACUCCUACGGGAGGCUGCAGUAGGGAAUCUUCCACAAUGGGCGAAAGCCUGAUGGAGCAACGCCGCGUGUGUGAUGAAGGCUUUCGGGUCGUAAAGCACUGUUGUAUGGGAAGAACAGCUAGAAUAGGAAAUGAUUUUAGUUUGACGGUACCAUACCAGAAAGGGACGGCUAAAUACGUGCCAGCAGCCGCGGUAAUACGUAUGUCCCGAGCGUUAUCCGGAUUUAUUGGGCGUAAAGCGAGCGCAGACGGUUUAUUAAGUCUGAUGUGAAAGCCCGGAGCUCAACUCCGGAAUGGCAUUGGAAACUGGUUAACUUGAGUGCAGUAGAGGUAAGUGGAACUCCAUGUGUAGCGGUGGAAUGCGUAGAUAUAUGGAAGAACACCAGUGGCGAAGGCGGCUUACUGGACUGCAACUGACGUUGAGGCUCGAAAGUGUGGGUAGCAAACAGGAUUAGAUACCCUGGUAGUCCACACCGUAAACGAUGAACACUAGGUGUUAGGAGGUUUCCGCCUCUUAGUGCCGAAGCUAACGCAUUAAGUGUUCCGCCUGGGGAGUACGACCGCAAGGUUGAAACUCAAAGGAAUUGACGGGGACCCGCACAAGCGGUGGAGCAUGUGGUUUAAUUCGAAGCAACGCGAAGAACCUUACCAGGUCUUGACAUCCUCUUGAAGCUUUUAUAGAAUAAGAAAUGUUCUCUUCGGAGACAAAAUGACAGGGGGGGGCAGGGUCGUCCUCACCUCCUGUCCUGAGAAGAUUUGGGUUUAAUUCCCCCCACCAACGCCACCCCCUCUUUGUGUGUUUGCCGCCCUUCCAAAGGGGGCGCCUCCCCAGAAAGGCCGGUGGACAAACCGAAGGAAAGGGGGGGGGGGAAAACCCAAAUAAAAAUGCCCCCUUUUAAACCGGGGGGGCCCCCCCGCCUCCAAUGGGGGGUGUUCAACCAAUG